AACAUCUAAGUACCCCGAGGAAAAGAAAUCAACCGAGAUUCCGAAAGUAGCGGCGAGCGAAAUUGGACUAGCCCUUAAGCUUUACACGCGUUAGACGAACGGUCUGGAAAGUCCGACGAUACAGGGUGAUAGUCCCGUAGUUGACGACGUGUGUUCAGUGAAAUCGAGUAGGGCGGGACACGUGAUAUCCUGUCUGAAUAUGGGGGGACCAUCCUCCAAGGCUAAAUACUACUGACUGACCGAUAGUGAACCAGUACCGUGAGGGAAAGGCGAAAAGAACCCCUGUGAGGGGAGUGAAAUAGAACCUGAAACCGUGUACGUACAAGCAGUAGGAGCAGGCUUUGUCCUGUGACUGCGUACCUUUUGUAUAAUGGGUCAGCGACUUAUAUUCAGUGGCAAGGUUAACCAUCUAGGGGAGCCGUAGGGAAACCGAGUCUUAACUGGGCGUUCAGUCUCUGGAUAUAGACCCGAAACCAGGUGAUCUAGCCAUGGGCAGGUUGAAGGUUGAGUAACAUCAACUGGAGGACCGAACCGACUAAUGUUGAAAAAUUAGCGGAUGACUUGUGGCUAGGGGUGAAAGGCCAAUCAAACCUGGAGAUAGCUGGUUCUCCCCGAAAGCUAUUUAGGUAGCGCCUCGGACGAAUACUACUGGGGGUAGAGCACUGUUAAGGCUAGGGGGUCAUCCCGACUUACCAACCCUUUGCAAACUCCGAAUACCAGUAAGUACUAUCCGGGAGACACACGGCGGGUGCUAACGUCCGUCGUGGAGAGGGAAACAACCCAGACCGCCAGCUAAGGUCCCAAAUUACUACUAAGUGGGAAACGAUGUGGGAAGGCUCAGACAGCCAGGAUGUUGGCUUAGAAGCAGCCAUCAUUUAAAGAAAGCGUAAUAGCUCACUGGUCGAGUCGGCCUGCGCGGAAGAUGUAACGGGGCUAAGUAGUAAACCGAAGCUGCGGCAAUAUACUUUAGUAUAUUGGGUAGGGGAGCGUUCUGUAAGCGGUUGAAGGUGUGUGGUAACGCAUGCUGGACGUAUCAGAAGUGCGAAUGCUGACAUGAGUAACGAUAAAGGGGGUGAAAAACCUCCUCGCCGGAAGACCAAGGGUUCCUGUCCAACGUUAAUCGGGGCAGGGUAAGUCGACCCCUAAGGCGAGGCCGAAAGGCGUAGUCGAUGGGAAACGGGUUAAUAUUCCCGUACUUCUUACAAUUGCGAUGGGGGGACGGAGAAGGCUAGGUGGGCCUGGCGACGGUUGUCCAGGUUCAAGUGCGUAGGCUGAGAGAUUAGGUAAAUCCGGUUUCUCUUAAGGCUGAGACACGACGUCGAGCACCUACGGGUGUGAAGUCAUUGAUGCCAUGCUUCCAGGAAAAGCCUCUAAGCUUCAGAUUGUAAGGAAUCGUACCCCAAACCGACACAGGUGGUCGGGUAGAGAAUACCAAGGCGCUUGAGAGAACUCGGGUGAAGGAACUAGGCAAAAUGGUACCGUAACUUCGGGAGAAGGUA
rnacentral:rRNA from 1 species